rnacentral:piRNA from 1 species
UAGGCAUAUGCCAUGUUCAAGGUCAUAAA